UACGUAGGGGGCAAGCGUUGUCCGGAUUUAUUGGGCGUAAAGCGCGUGUAGGCGGCCAGGUAGGUCCGCUGUGAAAACCCGAGGCUCAACCUCGGGACGUCGGCGGAAACCAUCUGGCUAGAGUCCGGAAGAGGAGAAUGGAAUUCCUGGUGUAGCGGUGAAAUGCGCAGAUAUCAGGAAGAACACCCGUGGCGAAGGCGGUUCUCUGGGACGGUACUGACGCUGAGACGCGAAAGCGUGGGGAGCGAACAGG
rnacentral:rRNA from 1 species